ensembl:lncRNA
GUAAAUCUUCCCUGAGGUCAGUCUCUUCCCUGAGGUCAGUCUCUUCCCUGAGGUCAGUCUCUGUAUGUAACACCAGUAAAUCUUCCCUGAGGUCAGUCUCUUCCCUGAGGUCAGUCUCUUCCCUGAGGUCAGUCUCUGUCUGUAACAUCAGUAAAUCUUCCCUGAGGUCAGUCUCUGUAUGUAACACCAGUAAAUCUUCCCUGAGGUCAGUCUCUUCCCUGAGGUCAGUCUCUGUCUGUAACACCAGUAAAUCUUUCCUGAGGUCAGUCUCUUCCCUGAGGUCAGUCUCUGUAUUUAACAC